UAUCAGUGGCUGAAGCGACGCGCCUGCACAGCGUACCCGGGAACAAGGUUGUCAGCGACGCGUUACACCCGGAGGUGAAGUGGGAGGAGUAAAGACGACAGGAACAUGCCACGCAAGAAAAGGAAACCGAAGCCGCCUUCAAGGGACAGCGACUUGCAAGACGCAGCGUCAUCUCCACCUUCAACAUCACAAGUUCAAGAUGAUGAAGGUAAAAUCACUACAGGGG